UCCUGCACAAAGCAAGAAGAGAGGAGUCAGGCAGAGCACACUCAGCGGUGGUCACUGUAAAGCUUUAGCAACUGCUUUUAAUAUAGCUGAGCAUUUCUUAUCACGUUCAGUGUCUCAAGCCACUCUGAAGAGCUCCGGCUAGAAAGACAAUAGUGAAAUGGAGAUGCAAUGAGUGGAGAGCUAAGUGACAAUUGGCUGCAUUCCAACCAUAUUCUGACAAGGCUUUAGUCACUACUGUUGGCUAAAAGAAACAAACAGUACCUCAGACAUAGAGUUUUGUGGAGAGGCGUCUUAAGCACGUUGCAGGAUGAAUAAAUCCAGUUUAAGCAUUCUUGAUUCCUAUUUGAGGUAAAAAGAAAAAUAAAAAACUGUUAGUAUGUCGUCCUAC